rnacentral:snoRNA from 1 species
UUGCGUGAUGACAAAAGGCCAUUGGCCUGAUCUAAUCCCAGCUCUUCGAAUGCCUCACCAAAACAACGCAGAGUGCAUCCUGAGAUAAAAUCCUACCUGACAGC